rnacentral:tRNA from 1 species
UCGGGAUAGCUCAGUUGGUAGAGCAGAGGACUGAAAAUCCUCGUGUCC